rnacentral:rRNA from 1 species
AGUGAACGCUGGCGGUAGGCCUAACACAUGCAAGUCGAACGGCAGCACAGUAGGAGCUUGCUCUUACGGGUGGCGAGUGGCGGACGGGUGAGGAAUACUUCGGAAUCUACUUUUUCGUGGGGGAUAACGUAGGGAAACUUACGCUAAUACCGCAUACGACCUACGGGUGAAAGCAGGGGAUCUUCGGACCUUGCGCGAUUGAAUGAGCCGAUGUCGGAUUAGCUAGUUGGCGGGGUAAAGGCCCACCAAGGCGACGAUCCGUAGCUGGUCUGAGAGGAUGAUCAGCCACACUGGAACUGAGACACGGUCCAGACUCCUACGGGAGGCAGCAGUGGGGAAUAUUGGACAAUGGGCGCAAGCCUGAUCCAGCCAUACCGCGUGGGUGAAGAAGGCCUUCGGGUUGUAAAGCCCUUUUGUUGGGAAAGAAAAGCAGCAGGUUAAUACCCCGCUGUUCUGACGGUACCCAAAGAAUAAGCACCGGCUAACUUCGUG